UCCAGUAGCGACAGCGGUGAGGUCACACCCGUUCCCAUGCCGAACACGGAAGUUAAGCUCACCAGCGCCGAUGAUAGUUGGGGGCUCUCCCCCUGCGAAAGUAGGACGUUGCUGGGU
rnacentral:rRNA from 1 species